UACAGAGGGGGCAAGCGUUGUUCGGAAUUACUGGGCGUAAAGGGCGCGUGGGCGGCCUGCUAAGUCGAACGUGAAAUCCCCGGGCUCAACCCGGGAACUGCGUCCGAUACUGACAGGCUCGAAUCCGGGAGAGGGAUGUGGAAUUCCAGGUGUAGCGGUGAAAUGCGUAGAUAUCUGGAGGAACACCGGUGGCGAAGGCGGCAUCCUGGACCGGUAUUGACGCUGAGGCGCGAAAGCGUGGGGAGCAAACAGG
rnacentral:rRNA from 1 species